GACGUAGGGUGCGAGCGUUGUUCGGAUUUACUGGGCGUAAAGGGCGCGUAGGCGGUCAGCACAAGUCAGUUGUGAAAUCUCCGGGCUUAACUCGGAAAGGUCAACUGAUACUGUGCGACUAGAGUGCAGAGGGGGCAACUGGAAUUCUCGGUGUAGCGGUGAAAUGCGUAGAUAUCGAGAGGAACACCUGCGGCGAAGGCGGGUUGCUGGGCUGACACUGACGCUGAUGCGCGAAAGCCAGGGGAGCGAAACGGG
rnacentral:rRNA from 1 species